CUCCCUCUCCCAUGAAUGCAGGCUGCACCCGAGGAGCUGCGCCUGCUCCCCUGCUUGCCCCUGCGCAGCACAAACAACCUCGGUACCGUCAGUGAAAUCCUCAGAUCGCUCGCAGUGCGCAGCGCCCCCACUUCUCAGUCACAUGUCAGGCCCAGAAGCAGCUAUGAUGAUUACAGCAUCACCUCCCUCCUCUCCAUCUACACAGUUGAACAGCUGCGCUGCAGUCUAGAAAAGUCACCCUGAAAACCAGCUCUAGUUUGAGGAGGUGACAUGUUCUUGCUUUGUCCCCAAAGAUGUUCUUCUGCUGUCCUCGCAGGGGGGAGUACCUCCUGGGCUGGCUGCAGCAGUCCUGCCCAGGGAGGGAGAGAUCUGGCCACCAGUACGGAAGCUGAAUGUCACCAGUCUGGGAUGAGCAGUCAUUUUGAUGGGCAUGCACAACUGCUUCUGAUGGAACUGAGACAAAAAGAAAACAUAAGGAAAAAAAUUUCCUCCUGUGAAAUGGAAGAAUGGGAACAGAAGCCCAGCCCCAGAGCCCUGGCAGCUCUCAGGCCGUGUGCCUCAAGAGGAAAGAAGGAAUGGAGAGCAGAGGGGAGACUCGCUCAGAGCACAUUCUUGGUGGUGGUGUCCGUGUCGCUGGGCUGUGAGCUCCACAGAGGCAGCCCACGGUCACUCUCAUCCCCUGCUCUGUCCCCAGACCUGGCUCACUGCCUGCCUUGCAACAGAAGCCCAGGAUGUACUUGGGGAACGAAUGGAACAGUGAGUGUCUCCGGACUAUGUAAGCUGCCUAGUGACCGUCACCCAGAACAGUGACUGCAUGCUUUCUGCCAGUCUGGGGAAAGUCCCUCUGCUCACUCUAGGCCCAACUCAUGGCCCAUCUGGUCAUUUCUUUUCCUCCUCUCAUGCCUGCCCAUUCCACUGCCCCUUCCCUUGCCACCGCUUCUCCUCUGGGCUGUUGGCACAGCCUCCUCCAACAACGCUCCCUGCCCCCAUCCCCUUCUCUCCCCCACUUUCUAAUCUGCCUCAUCUGCGUGAGAUUCUGAAUUCAUAUGUCCCAGCUCUUACCCUGUAGCCGCCACAUCCAAGACUAUACUGGCUCCAGGAUGACCACAGGAGGAGAGCCAGCAGUCCGGCCUGGCUCCCUUCCUGCAUCCCAGCUCCCUCUGGCCCUCUGGCAGGCUCAGGCUUUGCUCGAAGUCUGCCGUCACCUCUUUGAUCCUGCCCUUUCCUGCCGCUGCCUGUCCCAUCCAAUCUGCAUGGCCCUCAACAGAAGGGAGAACUAGGGCUUGAGAAUCAGAGAUGUGGGUUUGAACUCUGGUCCCCUAGUUCCUACCCGAGGGGACAAUGACAAAUUCUUUAACCUGAGCCUCAAUGUUCUUUUCUCUAAAACAGGCAAUAAAAGUACCUACCUGUGUCCUUGUGUGUCUAUAAGGAGAAUGUGUGUACAAAGGGCCUGGCACAUGGGACAGCUUAAAGAAUGGUAGAUAUGAUUUUCGGUAAAUCCUAUAAGUAUAAAAAGAAAAAAAAGGCUAAAAAUGGAGCUAUAAUUUUUUUCUCAGUCCUCUACCAGCCAAAACACCGGAGGAAACUUCACUAAGCCUGCUGAAUACACUGCCGCAAGGGGACAGGGCGUCGAGUGUGGGUGCUGCCGCCCCAGCCUAGUGGGCCACGCCCUGAAGAGAAGCUCCCCCAACUCCCGUGCACCUUGGGAGGGAGGCCUCCUGGGCUGAAAGGCCAAGUGCGCCACGACGACGGGAAACCGGGAAACCGCAGGGAAGACAGGCCAGAAGCAGAGCCCUUCCAUGCUCAACCGCAGGCAUUUGGGACUGGCUCACGAGUGAGCACUAUGGAUGGGGAAGAUUCAGACAGACAGACAGACAGACAGCCUGUGGUCCCCCGACUGGGAGCUCCCUGAGGGCAGAGUCAUGAGCCUAAAGAUGGUUUGAGUAAGGGUGCCUCCAGAUUCCUGCUGAAACUUAGUCCCCGGUGCAACAGUGCUAAGAGGCGUGGCCUUUCGGAGGCGAUGAGUCAUCAGGGCUCUGCCCUCACAAUGGAAUGGGAGUAGGUGCCCUUCUAGAAAGGGUGGAUUUGGGGAGUGCACCCUUUUCCUCCCUUUCUGUCCUUCUGCCGCGUGAGGACACAGCGUCCCCCCUCUGGAGGGUGCAGCAACACCAUGCGUCCUGGAAGCGGAGGGCAGCCCUCACCAGACAGCUGAACCUGUGGGCACCUUGACCUCGGACUUCCGGCUCUGGAGCUGUGAGUGGAUUCGUUCCCUAGGGCUGCCAUGACGAACUACAAGAAACUGGGCGACUUAGGCGACAUGCAGUUGGCAUCUCACCGUUCUGGAGGCUGCGUGUGAGUCACGGUGUCGCAGUGUCGGCUUCUGCGGGCCGUGAGGGAAGACCUGUCCCAGGCCUCUCCCCAGCGUCUGCUGGCUUGCUGGUGACCUUCGCUGGACCCUGGCUUGUGGAUACAUCACUGCGACAGCUGCCUUCGUCUCCGUCUGAUGCUCUCCUGCGACUUCACCUUGUCUUCCCUCUGUGUCCAAAUUGCCCCUUUGUAUAGACAGCAAGAAUUCUAAAUCUGAAUUUGUCCUUCCAGGUGGUUAUGAAGAAACAAUUGUCAAGGUAGAAGAAUGGGACAUAUUAAAUAGUUUGUAGGAUUUGUAACUUUAAAAUAUUUAGACGCAUGGUAUGUGGGCCUCCAACUGUACCCUUGCCCCAGGCCCUGCAAAUGUCGUAGGCGGCCUGGCAGGUGUGACCACAGUGAAGGAGAAAGGAAACCACCAGUUGCUGCCUGUAGAGAGCGGACAGGGGCGGGGAAGGAUGGGAGAGAGAGCAUAGUGGCACUCUGUUGGGAGCCUCUUGGUCAAUGUGAUUUUCUGCUUUGCCACUUGCAUACUUCACUUUGCUAAAGCUUAGGAAAAUUAUUUAAGUUCCCACCUCUCCUUGGAAUCUUCCUGAUCCCCAGCUCUCACCUUCCUUCUCUGAACUUCCACAACGCUCGGCAGCUGUGCAGCAUUCUUCCUGCCCCGACCUGCUCUCCCAGAGGCCUCUGCUGCCAACACCACCUGCCCAGGCCGACUAGCUGCCCACUUUCUAAGAGGUUCCCCUGGGCUGAAUCAACAAGCCUCAUUGCCAGGCCUCAGUGGUCUGCAGCCCCAGCCGAGCCCCUCCUCCACCCAUCUCUGGCCUGGUGCUCCCACCUGUACCUCCCCACGUCCCUUCAGGGCUGGGAGAAGCCCCUGCCCGCAGCCUCUGUCUGGUGGCGGGGAGGGGGAGCAGCACUGUGGAGCGCCUGGCGCCUGGCGCGUUAGUGAGGAGCAGGCGUCUGCGGCACCAAAUGGCUUUCUGCUGUCAGCAAGAGGCUCGGACUUCCUCCUGGCCAUCCCUGGUCUUUCAGGUUGCUGUUCUCUGUGUGUUUCUAUCUCACCCCCCGCCCCCAGGCUCUCCCUGCUCCCUAGCCCUCCAACCAUCGCCUCAUUCCACUUUCCCUGUGGGACAAAGGGACUAUUGCUGUUCCCCACUUCCAGCCCCCAGGCGCUUCAUCUGCAGCAGCUACCCCUGCCCCACCCACCAAAUCUCGGCCAGUUCCUAGUCCCCACAGCUGACACAGGGACGGGAUCCUGACCCUGGAACACUUGUCCCAGGCUAGAACCUAGAAUCUAAA